AUCUGCCCUAUCAGCUUUUGACGGUAGUGUAGUGGACUACCGUGGCUGUAACGGGUAACGGGGAAUUAGGGUUCGAUUCCGGAGAGGGAGCCUGAGAAACGGCUACCACAACUAAGGUUGGCAGCAGGCGCGCAAAUUGCCCAAUAGCAACACAUCGCUGAGGCAGCGAAGAGAAAUAGCAACUUCAUGCGGCCCUGCCGUGUGAAGAUUGCCAUGGACGAUAUCUAAACCUGUCGGUGAGUAUCAAUUGGUGGACAAGUCUGGUGCCAGCACCCGCGGUAAUUCCAGCACCAAUAGCGUAUAUUAAUGCUGCUGCUGUUAAAAAGCUCGUAGUUGGAUCAAGAGUUGGACAGUGCACGGCGGCCUCGUUUGUUAGUCUGGCUCCGGUCAGGCUAGCGGCGAUGGAACAACCCCGUGCGCCAAACUGUCCACUCUAACAGGCCGAAACGGUUCCCUGUGAGUAGGCUCCUUCAUUGGGGCUGAAAGCGCCUACGCAUCAACCAUAUGCAUACGGGACGUCGGCCAAUGUUACUGUGAACAAACCAGCGUGUCCAAAGCAGGCUCCCGCCUGAAUGUUCGAGCAUGGAAUAACAAGGGAUCGGUUCUCUCGGUUCUUUUUGUUGGUUUUUAACCCGAGAAGAAGUAAUUCAGGCCACGGUGUCUGAGUUGAGUUUCCCUGGCUCUCGGGUCAGGCCUCAACUAGGCCGUGUCCUUACGGGAUCAAUAGGGACUGACGGGGUCGUACGUACUUCCGCGUCAGAGGUGAAAUUCUUAGAUCGCGGGAAGACGAACUUCUGCGAAAGCAUUCGACAAGAAUGUCUUCAUUAAUCAAGAACGAGAGUGUGGGGAUCGAAGAUGAUCAGAUACCGUCGUAGUCCACUACUGUAAACAAUGCCGUCUCAGGAUUGAGAAGCGAACGUAAUGACUUUCACAGCACUAACCCCUGAAACGAGAAAUCAAAGAUUAUGGGUUCAGGGGGGAGUACAUUCGCAAGGCUGAAACUUAAAGGAAUUGACGGAAUGACACCACAAGGCGUGGAGUAUGCGGCUUAAUUUGACUCAACACGGGGAAUUUUACUAGGUCAGGACAAUGUAAGGAUUGACAGAUUGAGAGCUCUUUCUCGAUCCAUUGUGUGGUGGUGCAUGGCCGCUCCUGGUUGGUGGAGUGAUUUGUCUGGUUGAUUCCGUUAACGAACGAGAUCUCGACCCUUAAAUAGGUGCCCAUGUCGUCUGUAGUCUCACCUCCGCCGGCUUGCUGGAUUGGAGUGGGACGAGACUGUGGGAAUACUUCUUAAGGGGACUGUGUGCGUCUAUAGCACGCGGAAGAGCGAGCCAAUAGCAGGUCUGUGAUGCUCCUAAAUGUCCUAGG
rnacentral:rRNA from 1 species